rnacentral:rRNA from 1 species
AGCAGCCGCGGUAAUUCCAGCUCCAAUAGCGUAUAUUAAAGUUGUUGCAGUUAAAAGCUCGUAGUUGAAUUUCGGGAUUGGCGCAUCGGUCGUGCCUCACGGGGUAUGAACUGGUGCAGUCAAUUUCUCACCUUCUGGAGAACCGCGAUGUCCUUAAUUGGAUGCCGCGGGGAACCAGGACCUUUACUUUGAAAAAACUUAGAGUGUUUAAAGCAGGCAUUUUUGCUUGAAUACAUUAGCAUGGAAUAAUAAAAUAGGACGGCAUGGUUCUAUUUUGUUGGUUUCUAGGACCACCGUAAUGAUUAAUAGGGAUAGUUGGGGGCAUUAGUAUUCAAUUGUCAGAGGUGAAAUUCUUGGAUUUAUUGAAGACUAACUACUGCGAAAGCAUUUGCCAAGGAUGUUUUCAUUAAUCAAGAACGAAAGUUAGGGGAUCGAAGACGAUCAGAUACCGUCGUAGUCUUAACCAUAAACUAUGCCGACUAGGAAUCAGACGAUGUUAAUUUUUUCAAUGACUCGUUUG